AUAAACCACACCAAACAUAAAUAAAAUGAUCAAUCAAGCAAACGAAUCCAAAAACAAUGUCCAAUCCAAUUAUACAAUCCAAAAUAGAAAAAGAAUGCGAAAAUGUAAAUCCUAUUCUACCCUACACUAAUUUUACACUACACUCUCAUGCUACCCGAUGCCUCGGGCCUUCAUCACGGACGCCCUCCAAAUACAAAAUACUUCAGAGUAUUUCCCGGCGAAUAAAUACAAGUGAUCGCGGGGUAUUCCCCGAUUAAAUGAAUACAUUUUCAAAUGCAAGAACUAAAACCAAACCAUUCAACUCAAAUUCCACAUUCAAACAUUUAACAAGAAAACUUAUUCCUAAAAUUUUGCCUACCCGAACCAACAUUUGCCUAUCCAUUUCAACAUAUCAUAAUUUUAUCACAUUCCAACAAUAUUCAUGCUCAUUACGAAUUAAACAAAACAACAGUAAACCAAAACUAAUCUAAAUUCAAAUUUUUUAUCAAUUUCUCAAUUUCAUCCCCCAAAUCCAUUUUGAACCACAUUAUUAAACCAGUUAGACUAUCAAAUCACUUUUCAAAAUCCGAAACCAACAACACAUACCCCAACAAAGAUUCAAACAUUUAAGCAUACCAAUCAUUCACAUCCACAACAACAAUUAAUAUUUUUGCUCGAAAUAUUCAAAACCGCACCACAAAAUCACAAUAUUAAUCAACUUUGAUAUAAUAAAAAAGUAGAGUUGAGAGAUGGACCUUUGAAGAAUCGAUUUCGUUGAUAAUAAAAUCAAGAAAGUCCGGACUAUAGAAUUCCUAAUAGGACCUCAACAAUGACGAACUCCAACUCCGUAUUGAAAAAUUUGAGACCAAAAACUGAAGCUCCAUAAAUUCAAUCGAACCCGAAAAUCAACAUUGUUCACGUACUGCUCAUGGCACUGUUAACGGUACUGUUCACAACACUGUUCACGACACUGUUUCUCUCUUGAUUUUUUUUCUCUCGCGCAAUUCUCUCCUCUCCCUCGAUUUUUUUUUGUUCUUCUUGUGAGGAAGAUGAUUUCGUGAUUGUUGUUAUUGUGGAGAAGAUGAUGAUGAAAGAAUGAACCUCCCCCUUUCCCUUUUAGAAUUUUCUUUUUAUAUUUUUUAUUUGAUUUUUCUUUUUUUUUAUUUAUUAUCCUUUGUGGAAGUAUAUAAUUGAUGGCUUGUGGGAAUAAGUGUGUGGCAUGUGAAAAAGUUAGUGUGGCAUGUGGAAAGAUGAGGGUGGCGUGUGGAAAAAUGAGUAGGGCAUGUGCCUUUUGCAUGUAUCCAAUGAAAAAUGAAAAGUGAGGUGUUGAGGUGGCAUAGUGAGGUGACAAAGAUGCUAUGUAUUUAAUUAUUUUCAAUUCUUUUUUUGGGGAGAAAUUAUCAAUUAAACAAAAGUCUAGUAAGGUGAAUAAAAUAAAAAUAAAAAAUUAAAAUUAAAAUAAAUAAAAUAAAAUAAAAAAUGAUUAAAAUAUUUUUGGGAAAGGACAAAAUUACGUGUCUACAAAUAAAAUCUUACCUUAUAGGACUUACCAUUCACAUCUAACUUCAACAAAUUACGGUAAACUUCAAGAAAGGAAGACAAUUGACUCUAAGUAUUCAUUUUUCUAUUCAGAUCAUCACAUAGAGAAAAGAGGAGGACCGGAACGAACUUAAGCAAUCGAAUUCUCAAAAGCAAACACUUUAGAUAUGGUGACAAAAUCAACAUAUUCGAACUGCUUUUACAACCAAAUUGCGGGAAUAUACUAUUGCCAAGGUACGAAAUUGGGGAAAGAUCAACGAAACCCAAUCAGACAAGUAGACAUUAGACAAGCCCGUGCACAAGUUUUAUAGACGAAACACCCAUUUUUCGCUAGAACAUUUCACUACUUCAUCAAAUAGCAACCUAAAUCACGAUAUUUCAAAACAAAAUGCUUUUCAACAAACCAAACAAACAUCCUAAAAAGAAUUUGUUUACAAUUGAACGUCAGGAUAAAACAUAGAUUUCAUGCUAUUCUACAUAUUUAAACGUGAAUUGAUAACAAAGGAAGGGCAGACCACCGAACAGCUACGACUAACUAUUACACAUCUUCUACGCACGUAAAUCCUACGGCCUUUGAGGCCUUCUACAACAGGAAGAUCCCAGCAUACAAACACAACAAUUGAAAUUACUACGUGCUACCACUAUUACGAUGAAAUACAAUAAAAUAGUAAAAUAAAUCGAAGACUAACUGGCUUUUGGCAGCAAAACGAGACUCGAGCUUCCGUCGGAAUCAGCCACCACCAGAGAUCGUCGUUGUCGACAACUCGAAACUCCGAUUAGCUGAUGAAUUCACUAAAAAAUUUUACCGAAAAUAAAAAGAGAACUUUUCUUGAGAGCUUAUUCUGGCCUUCCAGACCUCCCUCUUUUUUUUUCUCUUGCUUUUUUUUUUUUUGCUUUUAAAAGAAAUUUUUUCUCCUUUUUUUUGGACCCCUUUUUUUGCUCUAAAGAGAGCUAUUUUUUUUGCUCUAAAGAGAGCUAUUUAUAGAAGAUGAAAAAAUAGGGUCCGAUAAAUAGGAUCCCAUUGAAGCUCGGCCGAUGUGGAAAAAAUUGAAAUCGGGGGGUAAUUUAGGGAUUGCCCAUUGAGAUAUUUUGAAAUUUGAAAAUCGAAUCCCCCUACAGCUUUUGUUUUCAUCCCCAAUUUGUACCAAUUUUAGGAUUUCUUGAGAGAAAUUUGGGAAAAUCCAAUUGUACUCAAGAACCAAUGAAAAGCAUCCAAAUAUAUACGAAAUCGUACCAUCAUGCCCAAUAUUCGCGGAAUUAUCCGUUGGGGAUGGCACUUAGGCUUGUUCUAGAAGAUUUUUGGACCUUUUCUCUUCCUACUAACGCGUGAGAUGCGUGACGAAGAGAAAAUAAUGGGUUGGUUUGAUGGUUGCAGGUUGAAGGGUCAGAGAUUUGCUUGGUCGGAUCUGGGAUCGAUACCGGUCAGAUAUGGUCGUUGUUGCUGAGUUGUUAUCGUGUUUUUGAGUUGUGUUGAUGUUGUUUUGAUGAAGACAACAGUCGAAGUGGGCCGGGUCGGAGAUCUUUGUUGGGUCAUUCGGUUAAGUUGUUGUUGUUUAAGGGGACUGAACUGGUUUUAAAUUGUUAAAAAAAAAGAAUAGGGGCUGAACUUGACUUUGGAUUGUUUAUUAAAUAUUCCAUAAAUAAAAUUUAGACAAUUAUAUUUAUUUUUAGCCUAAAUAAAAUUCAAUUGAUCAAUGGCAUUGCAAUUAUGGCUGAAUUGAUUCCAAUUAGGGUCUAAUUAAAUAAAUUAACUAAAUUAAAAUAAAAUUUGAAAUAAAUUAACAACUAAUUCAAUCCCGA
rnacentral:lncRNA from 1 species